GGACCAUUCUCAUUGGUGUGGACUGUCCUUACUAUCAAACUGAAAGUAUAGCGGUGGGUGGCGAUUUUAUUUAAGAUGGCUGUUUUUAGAAUCAGAGAUGCUGUAAUUGAUGAUUGUGAAGAUUUAUUCAGAAUGUGCAAGGAUCAGGCGAUUCUUCAUGGCUUUGGAAAUGAGAUGAUAUCAUCUGUAGACACUUUCAGAAAAGAUGGUUUUGGUGAAAAGCCUUUAUUUAGAUGUCAUGUAGCUGAAAAAAUUGAAUCAGGUGACAUAAUAGCAUACACUUUGUUCAUUCCGGCCUAUCUGUCGUGGAUGGGAAAAUACAUGUCCAUGGUAGAGCUACAUGUUACAGAAACUGAACGGGGUAAAGGCGUUGGUCGGGCUCUUGUGCGCCGAUUGGAACAGGUUAGUCUAAAAGAAGGAUUCUGUAGACUUCAGUGGGAGGCUAUGGAAUGGAAUCAUAAAGCAAUGAAAUUUUAUGCUAAAAUUGGAGGUGAAGACACUUCAUUAACCGAUGGGGGAAGAAGAACAUUUAUAAAAAAUAUAAGUAAACUAGAAAUGGAAAAAUGUGGCUAGCGUCAAUACCAAAUGAUUACCCAAGUCAAGAUUAAUUUUUAUAUAAGUAAUCGAAGAAAAAUGGAAUAAGAAAUCUCGCUAAGCAAGAAUUACCCCAUGUGACCAUCAACGACGUUAUUAAUUAUGUAGAAUCUUUGAAUAAAUUACCGGGUCUUAUUAGAA